rnacentral:rRNA from 1 species
CCUACGGGAGGCAGCAGUAGGGAAUCUUGGACAAUGGGCGAAAGCCUGAUCCAGCCAUGCCGCGUGAGUGAUGAAGGCCCUAGGGUUGUAAAACUCUUUCGCCAGGGAAGAUAAUGACGGUACCUGGUAAAGAAACCCCGGCUAACUCCGUGCCAGCAGCCGCGGUAAUACGGAGGGGGUUAGCGUUGUUCGGAAUUACUGGGCGUAAAGCGCACGUAGGCGGACUAGUCAGUCAGAGGUGAAAUCCCGAGGCUCAACCUCGGAACUGCCUUUGAUACUGCUAGUCUAGAGUUCGAGAGAGGUGAGUGGAAUUCCGAGUGUAGAGGUGAAAUUCGUAGAUAUUCGGAGGAACACCAGUGGCGAAGGCGGCUCACUGGAUCGAUACUGACGCUGAGGUGCGAAAGCGUGGGGAGCAAACAGGAUUAGAUACCCUAGUAGUC